CAAGAGAGACCUACACAUCCUGGAGAGUCCAAUGUGGAGCCAUCAAGAUGGUGAGGGGACUGGAGCACCUCUUCUGCGAGGAGAGGCUGAGAGCUGGGACUGUUCAGCCUGGAGGAGGCUCAAGGGGCAUCAUAUCAAUGGCAAUAAAUGCCACGGAAGGUGAGGAGGUGAAACUGGUGCUGCUGUCCAGGGAACGUGAAGUGACUUCUCCCCUUGAGAAGUCUUCUUGAAUAAGAGCUGCCAUCACACUCCAGGACAGGUAAGAUUGCCCCAAAACACACCCAGCAGGCUCUGACUGCAAGCAGGACGGUGACAUGAUCGAGGUAGAAAGGGAGUGAUCGCUGCAUGAGGUUGACGGAACAAUGACAGCCUCGCCAGAAACACCCAGCGAUGGAACCAGACCACGGCACAAUCCUGGCCUCUCUCCACUUGAGAAGACUUCUGGGAGGAAGAGCUGCCAAGACUCUCCAGGACAGGUAAGACUGCCCCAAAACACACCCCAGCAUGGUCUCAUAUCAAGCAGGACAGUGACACGCUUGGGCCAGGACGGGAGUGAGCGCUCCAUCAGGAUGACAGGAGAUGGAUUGACAUGGUGAGACACUCGAGGUUGUUGGGCACAGAGGCAGGGUCAGCCCCUUGUCACACGGGGAUGCUGCUCCGUUUGUUCUUUCUCUUAUUAAAGCCAGACACACACAGCGAUGGGAAGUAGGCCACGGCACAAUUGUGGCGACUCUCCCUUUGAGAGGACAUCUGGAAGGAACUUCCAGCGCUCCCCAGUAAGAGUAAGAUCUCCCCAACCCACAUCCACCACUGUUCACAGAAAGCAGGAAUGUGACACGAUCAGGCUAGGAUGGCAGUGACCGCUCCAUGGAAACGACGGAACACGGAAAGCCUCGACAGGAACACGCGUAGGGAUGAGAGCAGACCACGGCACACUGCUGGCCUCUCUCGUUUUGAGAGCUCAGCCAGAAAGGAUGCCAGCACUCUCCAGGACAGAUAAGACAGCCCCAAGCCAUUCCCCACUGUGGUGUCACGCUCGGACCAGGAGUGCAGUGACCGCUCAAUUAGGAUGAUGGAACAGAUAUGGCAUCGCCAGAUUCACACAGCGAUGGGACAAAACCACAGCACGCUCCUGGCCACUCUCCCCAUGAGAACUCAGCUGGACGGAAGAGCUCCCAACACUCUACCUGACAGGUAAGAUCGCCCCAAGCUACACCCCCGAUGGUCCACAGCAAGCAGGAAGCUGACAGAAUGGGGGCAGGACGGCAGUGAAUGCUGCAUCAGGAAGACGGAACACAGACAGGCUCGGUGAGUCACUAGAUACUCUUGAGCAGAGAGGCAGGGGCUGCCCAUGCUCACAGGGAGGUGCUGCUUUGUUUUGUGCUUCUUCUCUUUCAGCCAGACACACACAGGAUUGCCUCCAGACCACGGCACAAUCCUGGCCUCUCUGCCCUUGAGAAGUCAGCUGUUAGGAACUUGCAGCGCUCUCUAGGACAGUUCAGAUCUCCCCAACCAAAGCCCAGCAGGCUGGCCGUUGCUGCUCUGUUUGGUGCUUUUCCUCUUUCAGCCAGAAACGGCACAAUCCUGGCGUCUCUGCCCUCGAGCACUCAUCGGCGAGGAAGAGCUGCCAACGCUCCCUAGGACAAUUAAGAUCGCCCCAACCCACACCCACCAGCCUCUAACAGCAAGCAGGACGGUGACACGCUCGGGCCAGGAGGGCAGUGACCGCUCCAUGAGGACGAUGGGACAGGGAGAGCCUCGGUGAGUCCUGGUAGACCCUUGGGCACAGAGGCAGGGUCUGCCUGUGCUCACAGAGGGAUGCUGCUCCGUUUGUUCUGUCUGUUAUUAAAGCCAGACACACACAGCGAUGGGAUGAGACCAAGGCACAAUCCUGGCCUGUCUCCCAUUGAGAAGUCAGGUGGAAGGAAGUUCCAGCGCUCUCCAGGACAGGAAAGAUUUCCCCAACCCACACCCGCCAGGCUCUAACUGCAAGCAGGACAGUGACAUGAUUGGGGUAGGACGGGAGUGACCACUCCAUCAGGACGAUGGGACACGGACAGCCUUGCCAGAAACCCACAGCGAUGGAACCAGUCCAUGGCACAAGCUUAGCCGCUCUCCCCUUGCGAAGUCAGCUGUAAGGAUGAGCUUCCAAUGCUCUCCAGGACAGGUAAGAUUGCCCCAACCAAGGACAGGAGUGAGCACUCCAACAGGAUG